rnacentral:rRNA from 1 species
AGUGAACGCUGGCGGCGUGCCUAAUACAUGCAAGUCGAACGGAGUGGCGCGCGGGUGUGUAAUGUAUAGCUAAUCUGCCCUACACUAGAGGGCAACAGUUGGAAACGGCUGCUAAUACACUAUAGUGUAGGAUGAGGCUAUAUUGUAUCAGCUAGUUGGUGCGGUAAUGGCUCACCAAGGCUAUGACGCAUAACUGGUCUGAGAGGAUGAUCAGUGACACUUGAUGGGAGCCACAGUACGGACUCCUACGGGAGGGAGCGAUAGCGGAUAUUGCAAAAUGGGGGAAACCAUGAAGGAGCAACGCCGGGUGAGGGAUGUCACUUGUCAGGGCGGAUAGUCGUUGUGGUAGGGAAGCGGUACCUAACGAAUAAGCACCGGCUAACUCCGUGCCAGCAGCCGCGGUAAUUC